GACGAACGCUGGCGGCGUGCUUAACACGUGCAAGUCGAACGGAAAGGCCCCCACUUUUUUGGUGGGGGUGCUCGAGUGGCGAACGGGUGAGUAACACGUGGGUGAUCUGCCCUGUACUUCGGGAUAAGCUUGGGAAACUGGGUCUAAUACCGGAUAGGACCAUGGUUUAGUGUCUCAUGGUGGAAAAAUUAUUGUUUUGGUGCAGGAUGAGCUCGCGGCCUAUCAGCUUGUUGGUGGGGUAAUGGCCUACCAAGGCGUCGACGGGUAGCCGGCCUGAGAGGGUGGACGGCCACAUUGGGACUGAGAUACGGCCCAGACUCCUACGGGAGGCAGCAGUGGGGAAUAUUGCACAAUGGGCGCAAGCCUGAUGCAGCGACGCCGCGUGGGGGAUGACGGCCUUCGGGUUGUAAACUCCUUUCGUUAGGGACGAAGCCGCACCUUUUUUGGGUGUGGUGACGGUACCUUUGUUAAGAAGCACCGGCUAACUACGUG
rnacentral:rRNA from 1 species